rnacentral:lncRNA from 1 species
GCACUACAGAAAUAAAGAAAGUGUGUAUGAGAGCUGGCAGAGCAAAGGGGGCAAGCAGAGCCAAGCACCGUGAACAAGGCUCAGGGUCAUAGGGCACACAUGAUAGUGUAAUGCAGGAGGAGUGCGAGCUUUGUCACUGGGCAUUCAGGUCUUCCCUGGCAGGAGACUGCUUACGUGCCACACAGGACCCUGCCACCGUCAAGUCCACUCUCCUGCCUGUGCAGAGGGUGGAAGCUGUUCCUAGGCUGAUUUGCAGCAUUAGAGGGCAGGCAGCCACAGCUGAAGGGACCAAAGACAUCAAAAACAAGCAUUUUUCAAAAACUGAAGUCAAUCAAAGGAGUAGUAGCAAUAAAGAGGAAGAUUGUUAUCAUGGGGUGAAGAUGAGGCAAUGCCAAGUAUAGUGCCGCGUACAGAGCCUGGAGCAAGGUGAACAAACGCAGGCUCCGGGAUGCCAAGUGACUUCAUAUCAACAUCACCCAGCAGAUUAAGGGAACUGGGCCCAGACUCCUAGGCUCCUGACUACCCAGUCCUGUGCCCAUUCUAGUGGCCACUAUACUCACCCACUGGUUGUAGCCAUAUCUGGCUUAGGCUGGCAACACUUUUGAAGCAAGGAUGAUGCUUUCUUUCUUUUGCCCAAGACCAUUCUUCAUAUAAUAAGACAAUUAACAGAUUGUGGGUUUGAUUUAUAUGUAUGGUGAACUAACACUGGAAUGUAUCUGAAAGAUUGAGGCAGGAGAGGUAGUCAAGGAAGUAACCACGUCUUUCAGACGUGGCAACCGUGAUGACCACCAACACAAUAAGCCCUGGUGUUGACACUGUAGUCAAGCUCAUUCAAGCAAAGCUAUUUUCAGUAGGGAAUUUCCUCUGUAGAGAGCAUGCACAUUUUGAUUUUACCUGUCCUCAAACUGACCCUUUGCUCAUUAUAAUACUAAUAUAAAAAAUACUAAUAUUAAAAAAACCCCUGGGUGGAGAUUUAAGACGUUAAUGAGACAUGCGACCUAUGAAUAAGCAUGUACAGCUACUGCACAUGUGCAUCCAGAGGACCACCCACAAUAUGCUUACUAGUAACAUCUCCUUCCACACCCUUAUGAAUAAUCAUGUAAGAUUCCCAUAAGGGUAGUCUCCCUAGGGCCAGUCCAUGCUUUCUCUUCUUUAUGAGCAGCCUGCCAUGAAUCCUCUCUCAGGGUGCACUGUCUAUUCUGCACCCAGCUUUUAGAAUAUUCUUUCUCUUUUGCAAUAAAUUGCUCUAUGCUGCAGCUCCUUUGCUGUGUGUCUCUUCUUUAAGUUCUUUUAAACUAAUAAGACAAGAACUGAGGUCUCACAACAGCCAUCAACAAGAUUGUUGAAAUUCUGGAAGAGUGAUUUUCCCCAUGGGUAAUACAUUAUUCUUUUUAUUAUUUCAA